rnacentral:rRNA from 1 species
GCAAGUCGAACGGAGCUUAGAGAGCUUGCUUUUUAAGCUUAGUGGCGAACGGGUGAGUAACGCGUGAGUAACCUGCCCUAGAGUGGGGGACAACAGUUGGAAACGACUGCUAAUACCGCAUAAGCCCACGGUACCGCAUGGUACUGAGGGAAAAGGAUUUAUUCGCUUUAGGAUGGACUCGCGUCCAAUUAGCUAGUUGGUGAGGUAACGGCCCACCAAGGCGACGAUUGGUAGCCGGACUGAGAGGUUGAACGGCCACAUUGGGACUGAGACACGGCCCAGACUCCUACGGGAGGCAGCAGUGGGGGAUAUUGCACAAUGGGGGAAACCCUGAUGCAGCGACGCCGCGUGGAGGAAGAAGGUUUUCGGAUUGUAAACUCCUGUCGUUAGGGACGAUAAUGACGGUACCUAACAAGAAAGCACCGGCUAACUACGUGCCAGCAGCCGCGGUAAAACGUAGGGUGCAAGCGUUGUCCGGAAUUACUGGGUGUAAAGGGAGCGCAGGCGGGAAGACAAGUUGGAAGUGAAAACCAUGGGCUCAACCCAUGAAUUGCUUUCAAAACUGUUUUUCUUGAGUAGUGCAGAGGUAGAUGGAAUUCCCGGUGUAGCGGUGGAAUGCGUAGAUAUCGGGAGGAACACCAGUGGCGAAGGCGGUCUACUGGGCACCAACUGACGCUGAGGCUCGAAAGCAUGGGUAGCAAACAGGAUUAGAUACCCUGGUAGUCCAUGCCGUAAACGAUGAUUACUAGGUGUUGGGGGAUUGACCCCCUCAGUGUCGCAGUUAACACAAUAAGUAA